AAUACAUGCAAGUCGUACGCUUCUUUUUCCACCGGAGCUUGCUCCACCGGAAAAAGAAGAGUGGCGAACGGGUGAGUAACACGUGGGUAACCUGCCCAUCAGAAGGGGAUAACACUUGGAAACAGGUGCUAAUACCGUAUAACAAUCGAAACCGCAUGGUUUUGAUUUGAAAGGCGCUUUCGGGUGUCGCUGAUGGAUGGACCCGCGGUGCAUUAGCUAGUUGGUGAGGUAACGGCUCACCAAGGCYACGAUGCAUAGCCGACCUGAGAGGGUGAUCGGCCACAUUGGGACUGAGACACGGCCCAAACUCCUACGGGAGGCAGCAGUAGGGAAUCUUCGGCAAUGGACGAAAGUCUGACCGAGCAACGCCGCGUGAGUGAAGAAGGUUUUCGGAUCGUAAAACUCUGUUGUUAGAGAAGAACAAGGAUGAGAGUAACUGUUCAUCCCUUGACGGUAUCUAACCAGAAAGCCACGGCUAACUACGUGCCAGCAGCCGCGGUAAUACGUAGGUGGCAAGCGUUGUCCGGAUUUAUUGGGCGUAAAGCGAGCGCAGGCGGUUUCUUAAGUCUGAUGUGAAAGCCCCCGGCUCAACCGGGGAGGGUCAUUGGAAACUGGGAGACUUGAGUGCAGAAGAGGAGAGUGGAAUUCCAUGUGUAGCGGUGAAAUGCGUAGAUAUAUGGAGGAACACCAGUGGCGAAGGCGGCUCUCUGGUCUGUAACUGACGCUGAGGCUCGAAAGCGUGGGGAGCAAACAGGAUUAGAUACCCUGGUAGUCCACGCCGUAAACGAUGAGUGCUAAGUGUUGGAGGGUUUCCGCCCUUCAGUGCUGCAGCUAACGCAUUAAGCACUCCGCCUGGGGAGUACGACCGCAAGGUUGAAACUCAAAGGAAUUGACGGGGGCCCGCACAAGCGGUGGAGCAUGUGGUUUAAUUCGAAGCAACGCGAAGAACCUUACCAGGUCUUGACAUCCUUUGACCACUCUAGAGAUAGAGCUUCCCCUUCGGGGGCAAAGUGACAGGUGGUGCAUGGUUGUCGUCAGCUCGUGUCGUGAGAUGUUGGGUUAAGUCCCGCAACGAGCGCAACCCUUAUUGUUAGUUGCCAUCAUUCAGUUGGGCACUCUAGCAAGACUGCCGGUGACAAACCGGAGGAAGGUGGGGAUGACGUCAAAUCAUCAUGCCCCUUAUGACCUGGGCUACACACGUGCUACAAUGGGAAGUACAACGAGUCGCGAAGUCGCGAGGCUAAGCUAAUCUCUUAAAGCUUCUCUCAGUUCGGAUUGUAGGCUGCAACUCGCCUACAUGAAGCCGGAAUCGCUAGUAAUCGCGGAUCAGCACGCCGCGGUGAAUACGUUCCCGGGCCUUGUACACACCGCCCGUCACACCACGAGAGUUUGUAACACCCGAAGUCGGUGAGGUAACCUUUUGGAGCCAGCCGCCUAAGGUGGGAUAGAUGAUUGGGGUGAAGUCGUAACAAGGU
rnacentral:rRNA from 1 species